GAUGAACGCUGGCGGCGUGCCUAAUACAUGCAAGUCGAGCGAACAGACGAGGAGCUUGCUCCUCUGACGUUAGCGGCGGACGGGUGAGUAACACGUGGAUAACCUACCUAUAAGACUGGGAUAACUUCGGGAAACCGGAGCUAAUACCGGAUAAUAUAUUGAACCGCAUGGUUCAAUAGUGAAAGACGGUUUUGCUGUCACUUAUAGAUGGAUCCGCGCCGCAUUAGCUAGUUGGUAAGGUAACGGCUUACCAAGGCAACGAUGCGUAGCCGACCUGAGAGGGUGAUCGGCCACACGGGAACUGAGACACGGUCCAGACUCCUACGGGAGGCAGCAGUAGGGAAUCUUCCGCAAUGGGCGAAAGCUUGACGGAGCAACGCCGCGUGAGUGAUGAAGGUCUUCGGAUCGUAAAACUCUGUUAUUAGGGAAGAACAAAUGUGUAAGUAACUAUGCACGUCUUGACGGUACCUAAUCAGAAAACCACGGCUAACUACGU
rnacentral:rRNA from 1 species